ACCUGUAUAUCAAAUGGUUUACAUACGUUGGUAUGUACCAGGGUAAGUAACUAGGUGGCUCUUUCCCGAUGUCCUAUAAAGGAUAACUUAAUUAUUUUUUUUCGAAGGUAAGAUUCAUAAGCUGGAUACGACUCUGAAUCAAAAGAGCCAAGGAUUCCAUCUUUUUUCAGUUUGUUUAUCUUAUCCUCUCCAAUAUGGCCUAGUCUAUGAUGCC
rnacentral:lncRNA from 1 species